GAUGAAACCCCCCCUUUGGAUUAUUCAUUCUUUGAAAAGAAACUGAUUAAAAAAACAGACGAAAAAUAGACAUAAAAACUUCCCAUCGAAGCAACUGCAACUGUCUUCUAAUCAUAAAGAGACUGGUCCGCCUCAUCCAAAAUGAGAGAAACUCAAAAAGAAUGGACAAGUGGCAACGGAGUAGUCAAGACAUGCAAGUACAGCAAGGAAGGGCAAUAAGGAGCCAUUCUGAAACUGAAGAGGGCACGGCUGAUAAGGCUCUUGGGAGUGGGAGCUGCUUGAGUGAUUUCCAUGGUGUGAACUGUGAUGCUCUGCCAUGACUUCCUCACCGUGAUGUCAAAACUCUCUUGACAGUGAUUCAAAAUAAGCCUUCCUUUCUUGAUGUUCCUGUCUGGCCACUGUGACAAGACAACGAAUGGAGGCAAGGAUGUCUAUUUGUCUCAUGGUUCUGAAGGGACAAGACUGGAGGAUUAAUUUGCGAUGGCAUUGCUGGCAGAGUCCUCCAGCAGUGCAAGGCUUCACAUGCCAAGGGACGGGUGUGCUCAUGUCUCGGCCUAUCUCUCUUCUGUAAAUCCACCAUCAUUUGAUCCUGGGUCCUUUUCUUCUUAAUCCUCCCCAAAGCUCCACCUGUAGGCACCACAGUUGGAUCGAGUGCCACCCACUUACUACUUCACACUCAGGCUCAAUGUCAGCACACGAAAUCUUGGAAGAUAGAUGCCCAUGACCCUGUGCCAGUUCAUCCCCACUGGAAAUCACUGCACGUUUACUACAAGUUGUUACCUAAUAAAGGAAAGCAGGUUACCAAUGGCAAUAGUCAAAACACUCCUGGAACACAGUCCUCUGAGCAUUGCGGUCAUGGCUGUUUCAAACCAGAGCAGCUCAUGAGCAAUUCACAAGACUGGAGGUCUAUGGAUAUUGCUUUGUGGAGCUAAGGGAAAGCUCAUGGGGCACAUGAGACAGCUUGGUGGGAGUAAUUCUCACUGCAGCAUGUGAGGCCCAGUCAAUAUAUAGAGUUUGUUUCCCCAGAAAAGUUCAAGCAAGAUCCCCAAAGAAAAUCUGAGAACAAGUGUUCUUACAGAGCAGAGCAUUAAUAAAUCUCCACUUGGUUUCUGUAGAACUUCUCUCUGUCUCUGUCUCUCUGUUUCUGUCUCUCUAUCUCUGUCUCUCUACCUCUCUGUCUUUCUGUCUCUCUGUGUCUCUGUCUCUCUGUUUCUCUCUGUCUCUCUGUCUCUCUCUGUCUCUGUCUCUCUCUCUGUCUCUGUCUCUGUCUCUCUGUCUCUGUCUCUCUGUCUCUCUCUGUCUCUCUCUCUGUCUCUCUCUGUCUCUCUGUCUCUCUCUGUCUCUCCCUCUGUCUCUUUUUCUCUCUGUCUCUCUCUCUUUCUCUGUCUCUCUCUCCCUCCCCCCGACCCCUAUGCCUUCUGUGCAUUUCUAAGUUUCCAAAAUUUUAGAUGGUCUAAUUUCUGAAAGUUGCUCAAGAUUUAGAAAUUAGCAUAUUUUUCUGAAGGACAGUCAGCAUUCUUGAUGUUUCUCUCUCUACUCCUUACAUGUUUACCUUUUCUUAGUCCUCACAGUUCGUUGGUGAGCUUUCGUAUGGGUUUACACUGCAGGAGUCUGUUUCCCCUUUUAUCCAUAAAAGACACCUUUUGAGUGGCAGACCUGAGGUGAGCCUGAGCCUCCCGUGGUCUACCUCUGACAGUGAGCUAAAUCCCCAGCCUUUUUUCUCCUUAGACAAAUGUCGAUAAAAGAGCAUCUUGGGAAAUGUAACCUAGGUGCUGUUUCUUGUUUUGUUUUGUUCUCUGAUGUAUUAAUGAGCAUCUGUUCAGCCCUGUUUCUCAUGCCUUAGAUGUUUUAUGUAUCCUUUUUCAUUGCCACAACUGGAUAGCAGUACAUUUUCUUAGGCCAAGAACGGCUGCUUUUCUUUCUCUGACUCUUCAGUUUUGAGCAUGGUAACAUCCAGCAUUCAGGCCAUAGAAAAGUCUGACUGAAUGGAAAUGAAUGGGUCUGGUCACCGUGAGACGUGGUGCCACUUUCUGUACCUGUAGAGGGUUAGGUUUGUUUUGAGCGCCCAACCCUGGUGCUUUAAGCAGAGAUUUAAAAUGAAUCCAACCAGUCAGAUCAGAGCCUUGACCUAUACAUUUUGACAGUCUUGACCUUAAAUGCUCUCAACAUGGAAAAUAUUUAAUAUACAAGUGGACUGUGGUGUACUCCAUUUUGGAGCAAUCCUUCUUUAGCGAAUGCCAUCUGUCAGGAACUCUGUGGAGUCAAGCUGUGGGUCCACCCUGUUACCUGUGCUCAGCAUUGCAGCUUUGGCUGGAAUACAGCUGCAGUGUUUUGCUUGGAGAGUCUUUGGGGACCAAGCUUGUGCUUGGGACCUUCAUGGCCUUUCUUCCACCCUGGCCUCAUGCCACAGUUUUCUUGGACACAAUGGCAAGCCUAACCUUGGGAAGUUGUCUGGAUAUCUCUUUUUCAGUAGCUUACUGUCCUACUUGUCAUCUGUCACUCUGGUAGG
ensembl:lncRNA